AAUGAACGCUGGCGGCGUGCCUAACACAUGCAAGUCGAACGAGAAAGGGGCCUUCGGGUCCUGAGUACAGUGGCAGACGGGUGAGUAACGCGCAGGUAACCUGUCCUCGAGUGGGGAAUAACCCGGCGAAAGCUGGGCUAAUACCGCAUGACAUCCCCGGGUCUCCGGGUUUGAGGAUCAAAGAUGGCGAACUUCGAGUGCUAUCGCUCGAGAGGGGGCCUGCGUCCCAUUAGCUAGUUGGUGAGGUAACGGCUCACCAAGGCUUCGGUGGGUAGCCGAGCUGAGAGGCUGAUCGGCCACACUGGAACUGAGACACGGUCCAG
rnacentral:rRNA from 1 species